rnacentral:rRNA from 1 species
UCCUACGGGAGGCAGCAGUGGGGAAUAUUGGACAAUGGGGGAAACCCUGAUCCAGCGACGCCGCGUGAGUGAAGAAGUAUUUCGGUAUGUAAAGCUCUAUCAGCAGGGAAGAAAGAAAUGACGGUACCUGACUAAGAAGCCCCGGCUAACUACGUGCCAGCAGCCGCGGUAAUACGUAGGGGGCAAGCGUUAUCCGGAUUUACUGGGUGUAAAGGGAGCGUAGACGGCGAUGCAAGUCUGAAGUGAAAUGCCGGGGCUCAACCCCGGAACUGCUUUGGAAACUGUACAGCUAGAGAGCAGGAGAG